rnacentral:rRNA from 1 species
GAUUAUGGCUCAGGACGAACGCUGGCGGCGUGCCUAACACAUGCAAGUCGAACGGGGCUAGGAAAGCUUGCUUUCCGAAGCCUAGUGGCGGACGGGUAAGUAACGCGUGAGUAACCUGCCUUUCAGAGGGGAAUAACGUUCUGAAAAGAACGCUAAUACCGCAUAACGUACAGUUACCGCAUGGUAGCAGUACCAAAGGAGCAAUCCGCUGAAAGAUGGACUCGCGUCCGAUUAGCUAGUUGGUGGGGUAAAGCCU